AUUGAACGCUGGCGGCAGGCCUAACACAUGCAAGUCGAACGAGUGGCGGACGGGUGAGUAAUGUCUGGGAAACUGUCUGAUGGAGGGGGAUCACUACUGGAAACGGUCGCUAAUACCGCAUACCAUCAGAUGUGCCCAGAUGGGAUUAGCUAGUUGGCGGGGUAACGGCUCACCAAGGCGACGAUCCCUAGCUGGUCUGAGCGGAUGACCAGCAACACUGGAACUGAGACACGGUCCAGACUCCUCCGGGAGGCAGCUGUGGGGAAUAUUGCACAAUGGGCGCAAGCCUAAAGCAGCCAUGCCGCGUGUAUGAAGCAGGCCUUCGGGUUGUAAAGUACUUACAGCGGGGAGGCGUUACCCGCAGAAGAAGCACCGGCUAACUCCGUGCCAGCCGCCGCGGUAAUAC
rnacentral:rRNA from 1 species